rnacentral:rRNA from 1 species
UGUCGUGAGAUGUUGGGUUAAGUCCCGCAACGAGCGCAACCCUCGCCCUUAGUUGCCAUCAUUCAGUUGGGCACUCUAAGGGGACUGCCGGUGAUAAGCCGAGAGGAAGGUGGGGAUGACGUCAAGUCCUCAUGGCCCUUACGGGCUGGGCUACACACGUGCUACAAUGGUGGUGACAGUGGGCAGCAAGCACGCGAGUGUGAGCUAAUCUCCAAAAGCCAUCUCAGUUCGGAUUGCACUCUGCAACUCGAGUGCAUGAAGUUGGAAUCGCUAGU